GCAGAAAACCCACACAGGUACGGGGAGAACAUGCAAACUGCACACAGGUAGGCUGGAAUCCAGAUUCGAAAAUCCAACGUCAGAAGGUGAAGUCAGUAACCACUUGGCCACCACCGUGUUGCCUGGAAGGCAGCUUGCUCUUCGGUUGGAUGCUCUUCCGUCUGUGCACUGUGGCUGGUGGGCACCACUCGCGGCUUUCCACGGUACAGGACACGAGACAGGGUGGCUCCUCCUUCCGCCUGUCAGUCACAUGCGAAGCAAGGUGGCACCAACCUCAGACAGACGCCGUAAAAUAUUAUUUAAUGUACCUCCAAUGGACUAAAACGUCUACAUGUGUUUGCGUGGUCGUAUUCUAUCGCUACAAGA